rnacentral:lncRNA from 1 species
UCAGAGAGAUUCUUCAUACCGUAGCAGCGGUUGGGUUGGAGAGGAGCUGCUGCUUGUCCAUGGAGCAGCCGACGGCGCCGGAAACCCUAGCACGGCGCGCGAGUGCUAGUGGCGGGGAAGACUGAAUCCGUAUGGCGGAAGUGAUAGAUCAGCCCGAGACCGAGAGGCGCCCGUGGUCGUGGUCGUGGCCGGACCGCGCCGGAAUC